rnacentral:lncRNA from 1 species
CCCACUUCUGCCUAUACCUGGUAAUUGUACUAAUGGUAAUGGUACUUUUUCUGUCUUUUCCCAUAUGGGACAUUCCUGUCCGUUGGACUGGUCGAUCUUCUCCCAUACUGGACCUAUCUUGAUGUGGCUGGAAUAAAAUCACCAGGUUAAAUAUGUAUUUUGUUGUUGAGUUCCCAGAGGAAAACAACUUCACAGCUGUUGUCCCCCAGACCUGGUGCACAGGCAAAACCUGCUACUGGCCUCCCUACCCAAACACAGAUAGAAUUAGAAAGGCAUCAAUAAAUCAGGAGACACCUGACCUGUGUACCUGGACUAACCAUCCCAUCAUCAUAAAGAAAAGAAAAGAUAACUAUACAAAAGCCCAUGCCUUUUACAUUCGGGCAAAAAAAGGUGAAAGCCUGGACACUGAGCCGGAGGAUGGGGAUAAGAAGCGACAGAGAAAGUAGGCAUUCAUUGAAUACAAAUAUCUUCCUGAUGCUGCUCCUUUUACCCUUUUAUCAAAGUACUUUUACUGAUUACAUAUGCCCUUCAUAUUUAUUAUAUUCAAAUUAUUCGUUUUAUUCAAACUAUUCGUUUUAUCCUACACACAUAUAUAUGUG